CAAUAAGCGGAGGAAAAGAAACCAACAGGGAUUGCCCCAGUAACGGCGAGUGAAGCGGCAAGAGCUCAAAUUUGAAAUCUGGCCCCUCCCGGGGCCCGAGUUGUAAUUUGCAGAGGAUGCUUCGGGUCCGGCCCCGGUCUAAGUCCCCUGGAACGGGGCGUCACGGAGGGUGAGAAUCCCGUCUGGGACCGUCAGGCCGGCCCCGUGUGAAGCUCCUUCGACGAGUCGAGUUGUUUGGGAAUGCAGCUCCAAAUGGGUGGUAAAUUCCAUCUAAAGCUAAAUACUGGUCGGAGACCGAUAGCGCACAAGUAGAGUGAUCGAAAGAUGAAAAGCACUUUGAAAAGAGAGUUAAACAGCAUGUGAAAUUGUUGAAAGGGAAGCGCUUGCGACCAGACUCGCCCGCGGGGGCUCAGCCGGCAUUCUCUGCCGGUGCACUCCCCCGCGGUCGGGCCAGCGUCGGUUCAGGCGGUCGGUCAAAGGCCCCCGGAAUGUGUCGCCCCUCGGGGCGUCUUAUAGCCGGGGGUGCAAUGCGGCCCGCCCGGACCGAGGAACGCGCUCCGGCACGGACGCUGGCGUAAUGGUCGUAAGCGGCCCGUCUUGAAACACGGACC
rnacentral:rRNA from 1 species